rnacentral:rRNA from 1 species
GAGUUUGAUCAUGGCUCAGAUUGAACGCUGGCGGCAUGCCUUACACAUGCAAGUCGAACGGUAACAGGUCUUCGGAUGCUGACGAGUGGCGAACGGGUGAGUAAUACAUCGGAACGUGCCCGAUCGUGGGGGAUAACGAGGCGAAAGCUUUGCUAAUACCGCAUACGAUCUACGGAUGAAAGCGGGGAUCUUCGGACCUCGCGCGGACGGAGCGGCCGAUGGCAGAUUAGGUAGUUGGUGGGAUAAAAGACUUACCAAGCCGACGAUCUGUAGCUGGUCUGAGGGGAUGAUCAGCCACACUGGGACUGAGACACGGCCCAGACUCCUACGGGAGGCAGCAGUGGGGAAUUUUGGACAAUGGGCGAAAGCCUGAUCCAGCCAUGCCGCGUGCAGGAUGAAGGCCUUCGGUUGUAAC